rnacentral:rRNA from 1 species
CCUACGGGUGGCAGCAGUGAGGAAUAUUGGUCAAUGGGCGGGAGCCUGAACCAGCCAAGUCGCGUGAGGGAAGACGGUCCUAUGGAUUGUAAACCUCUUUAGUCGGGGAGCAAUGCCGGGCACGCGUGCCCGGAGGGAGAGUACCCGCAGAAUAAGCAUCGCCUAACUCCGUGCCAGCAGCGGCGGUAAUACGGAGGAUGCGAGCGUUAUCCGGUUUUAUGGGGUUUAAGGGGUGCGUAGGCGGAUUUUUAAGUCAGCGGUAAAAUGUCCGGGCUAAACCCGGACCUGCCGUUGAAACUGGGGAUCUUGAGUGGGCGAGAGGUAUGCGGAAUGCGUGGUGUAGCGGUGAAAUGCAUAGAUAUCACGAAGAACUCCGAUUGCGAAGGCAGCAUACCGGCGCCCGACUGACGCUGAGGCACGAAAGCGUGGGGAUCGAACAGGAUUAGAUACCCUUGUAGUC